AAACUCCGCUAGGAGAAAAAAAAAAAAAAGUACUUGCGCCACACUGGAGAUUCGAUUGAUCAUCGCUAUCCCCUUUUGAGUUUUCCAGAUUUACGCAGUUCUCUACCAGAUACGAUGGUUUAGUAUUUUGCAAGAAGAGAUACCGAAUCAUAUUGAAAGGUUUAGG